AAUUGAUCCAAAUAAACAAUGGGACAAUAAAUGUUAUAAUUACCAAGAAGAAGACUGCACUUUUAUACAGUUGAAGUAUGAUAUGUUGAAUAAAUACCCUCAAUGCAGCCUUAUGGAGCUUUGGCUAGACCAUGAACAGUAGACAUCAAAAAGAUGCUCAUCUAAAGGGCCGCAAUUGUUUGAAGCAUUGGUCAACAAAAAACCGAACUAUUUGAAGGAUCAUACAGAAUGUACAAUCAGAUUUCCAGAAUCAGAGAAAUAGAAGUAUCAAGUGUUCGGGAGAUAGGAAAAUAUGCAUCAUGCAUGAAGAACCUGCCUUAGAUUAAUUUGCAAAAUACAUUGAAAUCUCACAAUUGCUAAUGGAAGUUAAGAAUGGUGUACUCUUCUGGAAAAUAUGUGUCCAGACAAUACUGCAACAACAUUGUUUCUUCUUUUUUCAAUUUUCUGAGCAUAAUUCUACAUAAUAAUUAUACAUAAAAAUUGUAACAUGGUUGCAUGAAUAAUACAAAACGUGUAAUCAUAUUUCCAGACUCAGAUUGUGAGAAUCAGAGAAGAAAUAUCAAUAAUUAAGGAAAACGAAAUAUCUGUCAUACAUGAAGAACCUGCUUUAUAUUAAUUUACAAAAUACUUUGAAACCUCAAAACUGUUAAUGCCAUUAUACAUAUGGAAGAUUAGAAACGCGCAUUUUGAUAAAUCAUCUACUUGCGCAAUAUUUUUAUCAAUUCACUGAGCAUAGUUCUACAUAAACAAUGUAACUUAAUAAGCUAGUCUUUGAACAAGUAUUAGGUGUUGCACAUACCUUUCAUGAACAGACUCAAUCAAACCGAGUCUGCUAUUAUUCUUCUUGGUUGCAUUCCUUGCUUCCAAAGAAUCUUUUUACAGAUUUUAUUAGUCUUUUCGUACUUGUUUUAUAGAAAACGUUUCAUGAUGUUUCAAUGUAAAUGUGCUAUUUUUGUGGUGUGGAAAGUGAGAUUCAAAUAAUGGUUUUGCAUUGUCAGUAUUUUUUUCAUGAUUGGGUGGAUUUUCAAAUUACGUGGCAGGGUUAUUAAAUGUUAUAUUUUGAUGUGACACAUGCUAGAUUCAAAUGAUAGUCAAGGUCACAAUUAAGUAGUCAAAAACUAAACCUUUUCUGUCUUUAACUUUUUAACUCACCUGAGCACGAAGUGCUCAAAGGUGAGCUUUUGUGAUCCCCCUGUGUCCGUCGUCCGUCUGUCGUCAACAAUUUGACUGUUGACACU
rnacentral:lncRNA from 1 species